AGCCUGAUGCAGCCAUGCCGCGUGUGUGAAGAAGGCCUUCGGGUUGUAAAGCAGCGUGAGGAAGGUGUGAGUUAAUAGCUGCUAUUGACGUUAGCGACAGAAGAAGCACCGGCUAACUCCGUGCCAGCAGCCGCGGUAAUACGGAGGGUGCGAGCGUUAAUCGGAAUUACUGGGCGUAAAGCGCAUGCAGGUGGUUUGUUAAGUCAGAUGUGAAAGCCCGGGGCUCAACCUCGGAAUAGCAUUUGAAACUGGCAGACUAGAGUACUGUAGAGGGGGGUAGAAUUUCAGGUGUAGCGGUGAAAUGCGUAGAGAUCUGAAGGAAUACCGGUGGCGAAGGCGGCCCCCUGGACAGAUACUGACACUCAGAUGCGAAAGCGUGGGGAGCAAAUUAGAUACCCUGGUAGUCCACGCCGUAAACGAUGUCUACUUGAGUUG
rnacentral:rRNA from 1 species